rnacentral:rRNA from 1 species
CGCCAGACUCCUACGGGAGGCAGCAGUGGGGAAUAUUGCACAAUGGGGGAAACCCUGAUGCAGCGACGCCGCGUGAGCGAUGAAGUAUUUCGGUAUGUAAAGCUCUAUCAGCAGGGAAGAAAAUGACGGUACCUGACUAAGAAGCCCCGGCUAACUACGUGCCAGCAGCCGCGGUAAUACGUAGGGGGCAAGCGUUAUCCGGAUUUACUGGGUGUAAAGGGAGCGUAGACGGCUGUGCAAGCCAGAUGUGAAAGCCCGGGGCUCAACCCCGGGACUGCAUUUGGAACUGUGUGGCUGGAGUGUCGGAGAGGCAGGCGGAAUUCCUAGUGUAGCGGUGAAAUGCGUAGAUAUUAGGAGGAACACCAGUGGCGAAGGCGGCCUGCUGGACGAUGACUGACGUUGAGGCUCGAAAGCGUGGGGAGCAAACAGGAUUAGAUACCCGAGUAACA